rnacentral:misc_RNA from 1 species
GGGUUUACCAAGUUGCUAGUGUGAAAUCUGAAUGGAAUUGCAUCAAAACUAUUCCAGAUUUGUCUGGCACAGGGAAGGCAACUUGUCUAAAAUUUGGACCGGAUGCAAAAUACUUGGCAGUCGGGUCAAUGGAUCGAAAUCUUCGAAUCUUUGGUGUGCCUGGGGAAGAUGGUGCGAUGGAGGCAUGAGUUUGCAUCCAGAAUCGAAAUUUCCAGAACAGAAAAGAUGGAAGCUAGUUUCUGAUUAUAUUUGCACGAUUAAAGGAUUGAUUUAUGGUAUUAAGCAACAAGAUUCUGAAGCAGAGGCGUCUUUGGAAGGUUCUCC